rnacentral:rRNA from 1 species
UACGUAGGGGGCAAGCGUUGUCCGGAUUUAUUGGGCGUAAAGAGCGUGUAGGCGGCCGCACAGGUCCGUUGUGAAAACUGGAGGCUUAACCUUCAGACGUCGAUGGAAACCGUGCGGCUAGAGUCCGGAAGAGGAGAAUGGAAUUCCUGGUGUAGCGGUGAAAUGCGCAGAUAUCAGGAAGAACACCCGUGGCUAAGGCGGUUCUCUAGUACGGUACUGACGCUGAGACGCGAAAGCUAGGGGAGCGAACAGG